UACGAACUGUGCGAACGUUAUUCGGAAUCACUGGGCUUACAGGGUGCGUAGGCGGCUUGUUAAGUAGGGUGUGAAAGCCCCCGGCUCAACCGGGGAAUUGCGCCCUAAACUGGCGAGCUAGAGUGAGAUAGGGGUAUGUGGAACUUCCGGUGGAGCGGUGAAAUGCGUUGAUAUCGGAAGGAACGCCGGUGGCGAAAGCGACAUACUGGAUCUUGUCUGACGCUGAGGCACGAAAGCCAGGGGAGCGAACGGG
rnacentral:rRNA from 1 species